rnacentral:rRNA from 1 species
UACGAGGGGAGCAAGCGUUGUUCGGAUUUACUGGGCGUAAAGAGUGCGUAGGCGGUCUUUUAAGUUUGGUGUGAAAUCUCCCGGCUCAACUGGGAGGGUGCGCCGAAAACUGGGAGGCUUGAGGAUGGGAGAGGCAUGCGGAAUUCCUGGUGUAGCGGUGAAAUGCGUAGAUAUCAGGAGGAACACCUGCGGUGUAGACAGCAUGCUGGACCAUUUCUGACGCUGAGGCACGAAAGCGUGGGUAGCAAACAGG